CCGCUGAAAUUUAAACACCGAGGAGGGUCUGCGGGCGUUUCCGCUGUGCUCUCUUGGUGGUCCUUAGCAGUCUUUAGGGGGCUUGGGCUGUUGGUUGCCAAGGGCCCCUGAGUCGGAGUGUGAGUCAGCUGGUAGCAGUUAAAAAGAGUAAAGGAAGACGUGCUGCAGUAUUGAAGGCUACGCUAACCUGCUGUCCACAAAACUGGGUGAGGACAUGGGAAGAAAGACGAAAAGGAAACUGACCUACCAGUGUGUACCAGGUACCCUGUCCUGGAGAGGUGGUGACAAAUACAUCCCAAGGGAAAGACAAAAGAGUCCUGUUGAAGUCCUGUUGAAGAGUCCAACGUUCUCGUGAAGUAACAAGCAAAUACUGACCACCUACUACGCACUAGUGUGUAGUAGGCACAAUGCUAGUUGUUGAGAUACAGGGAUUGCAUUCAUCAUCACAACCUCUCACACCUGAAUUCAACCUGUAUUCUUAUGGACUGCUUAGCGUUUGGCUGGAAGGCAUAAAUUUCUAAGUAAGGU